CCGCAGCCCGGAUUGAGCCGGUAUCCUUUGCGAAGUAUGAGCAAAGAUAAAGGCGAAAGCCGGAAAUGUC
rnacentral:sRNA from 1 species